GACGAACGCUGGCGGCGUGCUUAACACAUGCAAGUCGAACGGUGAAAGCGGAGCUUGCUCCGCUGGAUCAGUGGCGAACGGGUGAGUAACACGUGGGCAACCUGCCCCUCACUUCGGGAUAACUCCGGGAAACCGGGGCUAAUACCGGAUAUGACCUCCUUGGGCAUCCUUGGAGGUGGAAAGUUUUUCGGUGAGGGAUGGGCCCGCGGCCUAUCAGCUUGUCGGUGAGGUAACGGCUCACCAGGGCGACGACGGGUAGCCGGCCUGAGAGGGUGAACGGCCACACUGGGACUGAGACACGGCCCAGACUCCUACGGGAGGCAGCAGUGGGGAAUAUUGCGCAAUGGACGAAAGUCUGACGCAGCGACGCCUCGUGAGGGACGAAGGUCUUCGGAUUGUAAACCUCUUUCAGCAGGGACGAAGCGAAAGUGACGGUACCUGCAGAAGAAGCACCGGCUAACUAUGUGCCAGCAGCCGCUGUAA
rnacentral:rRNA from 1 species